CUCCAAGUUCUAAGCCGGAAGGUGCCUGUGAGGUGGCACAGAGCCCUUGUGGAAAGCAGUGCUCUCUUGGGUGUGCAGGUGUCCUACCACCACGUUCAGCGCCCCUGGGUCUUCCACCAGGCCAUGCACCUGGCCCAGUGAAGCAGCACUACACAAGACAGCUUCCAAAAUCAAGUUCAAGUUCGCACUGUAUGUGACUAGGUCUAAAAGUAGACCACUCGGCCGCGCAUGACUGGAAUGUGACGAGGAGACGUGAGGCCUGUGUCGAAGUUCACACGCCCAUCUCUGUGGCCAGCAUUCACCUUGUGCACUUGGCCAGCUCACCAGCACCGCGAGGAUGGCACCUAGGAUGGAGGAGUGAGGUGGGCUCAGGGUUCAGGAGCAGACAGCCAGCGGGGGCCCCCGGCUGCAGGGUGGCAGGAGGCUGGCUUUGGGCUCAGGUUGGGCUGAAAUCUCAAGAAGAGUCCCAGGUUUGAUUCCCACUGUUUCUGCUUGUGAUGAGAGAGUCACUGAGGACCAGAAGCACUGGGCUCAGGGGCCACGGCAGAACACCGCGUGCUGUCCCAGAACCACUUGACUUGGUACUCCGUUCCUUUACUUUUAUUUUAGCUUUUUGAAAAAUAAGAUGCUUCUUGCUGGGCGCAGUGGCACCCGCCUGUAAUCCCAGUGGCUCAGGAGGCCAGUACAGCAGGAUCACGAGUUCAAAGCCAGACUCAGCAAAAGUGAGGCGUUAAGGAACUCAGUGAGACCCUGUCUCUAAAUAAAAUACAAAAUAGGGCUGGGUGUGGCUCAGUGGCUGAGUGACCCCGAGUUCAAUCCCCGGUAACACCCCCCCCCAACGAAAUAAUAAUAAAAUAAAAAAUAAGAUGCUUCUUAAAUGGAGUUAUUUCCUCCCCCUCUGC
rnacentral:lncRNA from 1 species